GCUAGUGGGUUACAUAAGGCUGGGGAAGAGGCGGAUGGAUGGGGAGACUGUAAGAGGCUUAUUGUCAUGACGAUAUCUGGAUAAAGAAGGAGCUGUGCGGUUUAACUUUCAAAGGGAUGCGUGCAUGAUCGCACCUGCGCGUGAGCGUCUGUGCAGAUUUAACAGCGGGUGAUGAAGAGGGAGCUACUUAAAGAGCAAGCCCCGAAGUGCCCGUAGGAGACCUGAUCAUCAAGGCCGCCAGUGUGGCAGAGGGACCCUGGAGAAAGAACGGCACUGCACACCGCUCCCACUUUGCAAACUUCUCCAGGUGGUGAAAGAGUCCAGACCCGGGCAGGAAGGAGUCUUCUCUCUCCAGAAGUUAAGCUAAAGUAGGAAUUUAGCUCAGUUGAGCAGACAUUUUACUGAGUGCCUCACAUGUGCACACGUGGCCUUGAGAAACACCGAGGGAAGGAGUUUGCAAGCAGUGCGGUUGGUAAGAGGGGUCUGAGGGUGCGG
ensembl:lncRNA